rnacentral:rRNA from 1 species
GGUAGCUUGCUACUUUACCUAGCGGCGGACGGGUGAGUAAUGCUUAGGAAUCUGCCUAUUAGUGGGGGACAACAUCUCGAAAGGGAUGCUAAUACCGCAUACGUCCUACGGGAGAAAGCAGGGGACCUUCGGGCCUUGCGCUAAUAGAUGAGCCUAAGUCGGAUUAGCUAGUUGGUGGGGUAAAGGCCUACCAAGGCGACGAUCUGUAGCGGGUCUGAGAGGAUGAUCCGCCACACUGGGACUGAGACACGGCCCAGACUCCUACGGGAGGCAGCAGUGGGGAAUAUUGGACAAUGGGGGGAACCCUGAUCCAGCCAUGCCGCGUGUGUGAAGAAGGCCUUUUGGUUGUAAAGCACUUUAAGCGAGGAGGAGGCUACCGAGAUUAAUACUCUUGGAUAGUGGACGUUACUCGCAGAAUAAGCACCGGCUAACUCUGUGCCAGCAGCCGCGGUAAUACAGAGGGUGCAAGCGUUAAUCGGAUUUACUGGGCGUAAAGCGCGCGUAGGUGGCCAAUUAAGUCAAAUGUGAAAUCCCCGAGCUUAACUUGGGAAUUGCAUUCGAUACUGGUUGGCUAGAGUAUGGGAGAGGAUGGUAGAAUUCCAGGUGUAGCGGUGAAAUGCGUAGAGAUCUGGAGGAAUACCGAUGGCGAAUGCAGCCAUCUGGCCUAAUACUGACACUGAGGUGCGAAAGCAUGGGGAGCAAACAGGAUUAGAUACCCUGGUAGUCCAUGCCGUAAACGAUGUCUACUAGC